GGAGAAGAUCGGAUGAUCGCGGGCAGGCAUGACCUGCCGGAGGAAAGUCCGGGCUCCGCAGGGCAGGAUGGUCGCUAACGGCGACCGGGGGCGACCCCAGGGAAAGUGCCACAGAAAACAUACCGCCCGCCUCAGGCGGGUAAGGGUGAAAAGGCGAGGUAAGAGCUCACCGCUUUUCCGGUGACGGAAAAGGCAGGGUAAACCCCAUCCGGAGCAAGACCAAAUAGGGGAACGUUUGAGGGCGGCCCGCCUGAUGUUCCCGGGUAGUGUCGCUGGAGGCGCAGGGCAACCUGCGUCCCAGAUGAAUGAUCAUCGCCGCGUCAAAGGGUAACCGAAACGCGGAACAGAACCCGGCUUAUGAUCUUCUCCGCGC
rnacentral:RNase_P_RNA from 1 species